UUAUUGGAGAGUUUGAUCCUGGCUCAGGAUGAACGCUGGCGGCGUGCCUAAUACAUGCAAGUCGAGCGAAUGGAUUAAGAGCUUGCUCUUAUGAAGUUAGCGGCGGACGGGUGAGUAACACGUGGGUAACCUGCCCAUAAGACUGGGAUAACUCCGGGAAACCGGGGCUAAUACCGGAUAACAUUUUGAACCGCAUGGUUCGAAAUUGAAAGGCGGCUUCGGCUGUCACUUAUGGAUGGACCCGCGUCGCAUUAGCUAGUUGGUGAGGUAACGGCUCACCAAGGCAACGAUGCGUAGCCGACCUGAGAGGGU
rnacentral:rRNA from 1 species